rnacentral:lncRNA from 1 species
GGGCGCCGGCUUCUCCAUGGCCGGCUGUUCCUGCCAGUGGCUACAGAAGAAGAGCCACGAGGUUUACCUCCCUGCUGACUCUCGGCUGGGGCUCUGAUGAUUCGACCUGCCUCCUCUUGGCUGUGCACCGCUGUGCAGAUGAAAGAGGACGAUGCAUCAAACGUGAACGAGCGGCACGGCCUGCAAGGGAGUGUGAGGGCUGCAGGCGUCCUGCCCAUGGCUCCUGCCAGCCUCGCAGCCUCGUUGGCUGAGGAUCAAACAGUGCAGACGUGGCCGGGGAAGCAGAGCGGUGGGCCAGGGCCUUCUCCAUGGGUGCCCCCUGCCUCCACCCCAAACAUGAAAGCAAGCUCCGGGAGUGCCAGAAACUGACCACAGAUCAAUAUUUUUCCGUGAUAAGCUGCCUGGUGCCAGUGAGGCAAGAAGCCUCUGAUGAGCGCAGGUCCUCUGCCAAGCAGGAAGGAGUGGUUUUUACAUUUUCACCCUCCUCCGUGUCUCUCUGAAGCUUAAGGCCUGCUGUGUGCCAGGUGGAGGGGAGGAGGCAUCAAUGUCUAUUUGAUUGUCCAUAGCAGUCAGGGAGCUGCCAGCAGGAAGGCCUGGGACUUGGUGAUGCCUGCUGAUCCCGGGCUCGAUGCUGGGUCAGCCACGCAGCCCAUGCGUCUCUCCCAGGCACCUCUGUGGCCAGGCGUGUGGCUGGCGUUUGACAUCGUGAGCUCAGACCUGCUUUCCUUUGCUAAGGCACUUCGGAGCGCUUCUCCCUGAGCCCGUCUGCUGCACCAGCUCAGGAAGGGGGGAUUUGACAGCAGAGGUGAUGGGUCUGCGUUUGCAGGUUGGGCGCUGGGAGACAGCAUGUGUGGAGGGGGCCGCUGGCAAUACCUCUUGGCUGGGGGGUCAGCAGCAGAAGGUGGGGGAUUGCUUGGCAGGCGGGGCUGGGAGGAAGGAGGGCUGGGCAGGGAGACAGAAGUAGGUCUUGGCCCAGGCUCUGCAGCGUUUGUACUGAGAACUGUGGGGAGGAGCUCCUCUCAAAGGGUGUGGAGGGAGUUGGCAGCAUCAGGGCCUGUCUGCUUCCAGGAUAGAAGAGGGUAUGAAGUUGCUUCCUACAUGAGAAUACCUGCCGAUUCAGCAGACACAGGGAAA